rnacentral:rRNA from 1 species
GAAUUCGAUUAGAGUUUGAUCAUGGCUCACAUUUACGCUGGCGGCACGCCUAACACAUGCAAGUCGAACGAAGUAGCAAUACUUAGUGGCAGACGGGUGAGUAACAUGUGGGUAUCUGCCCUUUGGCCUGGAAUAACACGAGGAAGCUUGUGCUAAUACCGGAUAAGUCUUUACGGAGAAAGCUUUAUGCACCAUUGGAUGAGCCCGCACUUGAUUAGUUUGUUGGUAGGGUUAUGGCCUACCAAGACUGUGAUCAAUAGCUGAUUUGAGAGGAUGAUCAGCCACAUUGGGACUGAGACACGGCCCAAACUCCUACGGGAGGCAGCAGUGGGGAAUCUUGCACAAUGGAGGAAACUCUGAUGCAGCGAUGCCGCGUGAGUGAAGAAGGCCUUUGGGUUGUAAAGCUCUUUCGUCGGGGAAGAAAAUGACUGUACCCGAAUAAGAAGGUCCGGCUAACUUCGUGCCAGCAGCCGCGGUAAUACGAAGGGACCUAGCGUAGUUCGGAAUUACUGGGCUUAAAGAGUUCGUAGGUGGUUGAAAAAGUUGGUGGUGAAAUCCCAGAGCUUAACUCUGGAACUGCCAUCAAAACUUUUCAGCUAGAGUUUGAUAGAGGAAAGCAGAAUUUCUAGUGUAGAGGUGAAAUUCGUAGAUAUUAGAAAGAAUACCAAUUGCGAAGGCAGCUUUCUGGAUCAUUACUGACACUGAGGAACGAAAGCAUGGGUAGCGAAGAGGAUUAGAUACCCUCGUAGUCCAUGCCGUAAACGAUGUGUGUUAGACGUUGGAAAUUUAUUUUCAGUGUCGCAGCGAAAGCGAUAAACACACCGCCUGGGGAGUACGACCGCAAGGUUAAAACUCAAAUGAAUUGACGGGGACCCGCACAAGUAGUGGAGCAUGUGGUUUAAUUCGAAGAUACGCGCAGAACCUUACCAACACUUGACAUGUUCGUCGCGACUUUAAGAGAUUAAAGUUUUCGGUUCGGCCGGACGAAACACAGGUGCUGCAUGGCUGUCGUCAGCUCGUGUCGUGAGAUGUUGGGUUAAGUCCCGCAACGAGCGCAACCCUCACUUUUAGUUGCCAUCAUUAAGUUGGGCACUCUGAAAGAACUGCCAGUGAUAAGCUGGAGGAAGGUGGGGAUGACGUCAAGUCCUCAUGGCCCUUACGUGUUGGGCUACACACGUGCUACAAUGGUAUCUACAACAGGAAGCGAAACAGCGAUGUUAAGCAAAUCCUUAAAAGAUAUCUCAGUUCGGAUUGCACUCUGCAACUCGAGUGCAUGAAGCUGGAAUUACUAGUAAUCGUGGAUCAGCGUGCCACGGUGAAUGCGUUCCCAGGGUCUUGUACACACCGCCCGUAA